CUACGGGCGGCAGCAGUGAGGAAUAUUGCACAAUGGGGGGAACCCUGAUGCAGCAACGCCGCGUGGAGGAUGACGCAUUUCGGUGUGUAAACUCCUUUUAUAUGUCAAGAAAAUGACGGUAGCAUAUGAAUAAGCACCGGCUAACUCCGUGCCAGCAGCCGCGGUAUACGGAGGGUGCAAGCGUUACUCGGAAUCACUGGGCGUAAGGGACGCGUAGGCGGGUUGGAAAGUCAGGUGUGAAAUCCUACAGCUUAACUGUAGAACUGCACUUGAAACUUCUAAUCUAGAGUAUGGGAGGGGGAGAUGGAAUUAGUGGUGUAGGGGUAAAAUCCGUAGAUAUCACUAGGAAUACCUAAAGCGAAGGCGAUCUCCUGGAACAUUACUGACGCUAAGGCGUGAAAGCGUGGGGAGCAAACAGGAUUAGAUACCCUGGUAGUC
rnacentral:rRNA from 1 species